rnacentral:SRP_RNA from 1 species
GCUGGGCAUAGUGGCGGGUGCCUGUAAUCCCAGCUACUCGGGAGGCUGAGGCAGAAGAAUUGCUUGAACCCAGGAGGCGGAGGUUGCAGUGAGCUGAGAUCGUGCCACUGCACUCUAGCCUGGGCGACAGAGUGAGAUUCCAUCUAAAAAAAAAAAAAAGAAAAAGAAACAAAAAUAACUGAGUUUUCUUUUCUUUUUUGUUUUUUUUUCUUCAGACAGAGUCUCACUGUGUCACCAGGCUGGAGUGCAGUGGCGCGAUCUCAGCUCACUGCAACCUCCGCCUCCCGGGUUAACGCCAUUCUCCUGCCUCAG